AUUGGACGCUGGCGGCAUGCUUUACACAUGCAAGUCGAACGGCAGCGCGGGCUUCGGCCUGGCGGCGAGUGGCGAACGGGUGAGUAAUACAUCGGAACGUGCCCAGUAGUGGGGGAUAGCUCGGCGAAAGCCGGAUUAAUACCGCAUACGACCUGAGGGUGAAAGCGGGGGAUCUUCGGACCUCGCGCUAUUGGAGCGGCCGAUGGCAGAUUAGCUAGUUGGUGGGGUAAAGGCCUACCAAGGCGACGAUCUGUAGCUGGUCUGAGAGGACGACCAGCCACACUGGGACUGAGACACGGCCCAGACUCCUACGGGAGGCAGCAGUGGGGAAUUUUGGACAAUGGGCGAAAGCCUGAUCCAGCAAUGCCGCGUGUGUGAUGAAGGCCUUCGGGUUGUAAAGCACUUUUGGCGGGAACGAAAAGGACUGUGCCAAUACCACGGUUCGAUGACGGUACCCGCAGAAUAAGCACCGGCCAACUACGUG
rnacentral:rRNA from 1 species